AGUGAACGCUGGCGGUAGGCCUAACGCAUGCAAGUCGAACGGCAGCACAGUAAGAGCUUGCUCUUACGGGUGGCGAGUGGCGGACGGGUGAGGAAUACAUCGGAAUCUACUUUUUCGUGGGGGAUAACGUAGGGAAACUUACGCUAAUACCGCAUACGACCUACGGGUGAAAGCAGGGGAUCUUCGGACCUUGCGCGAUUGAAUGAGCCGAUGUCGGAUUAGCUAGUUGGCGGGGUAAAGGCCCACCAAGGCGACGAUCCGUAGCUGGUCUGAGAGGAUGAUCAGCCACACUUGAACUGAGACACGGUCCAGACUCCUACGGGAGGCAGCAGUGGGGAAUAUUGGACAAUGGGCGCAAGCCUGAUCCAGCCAUACCGCGUGGGUGAAGAAGGCCUUCGGGUUGUAAAGCCCUUUUGUUGGGAAAGAAAAGCAGCAGGUUAAUACCCCGCUGUUCUGACGGUACCCAAAGAAUAAGCACCGGCUAACUUCGUG
rnacentral:rRNA from 1 species